GUGCGAUCCGGCGACGGGCUACAAGGUGAGCGCACUCACGGGCUGCCGGGCAAUGGUGAAGCUCCAGUGUGUGGGCAGUCAGGUGCCCGAGGCUGUCCUAAGAGAUUGCUGCCAGCAGCUGGCCGACAUCAACAACGAAUGGUGCAGGUGCGGGGACCUCAGCAGCAUGUUGCGUAGUGUUUAUCAGGAGCUCGGCGUGCGUGAGGGGAAGGAGGUGCUCCCAGGUUGCCGGAAGGAGGUGAUGAAGCUCACGGCGGCGAGCGUGCCUGAGGUCUGCAAGGUGCCCAUUCCCAACCCGUCGGGAGACAGAGCAGGUGUCUGCUACUGGGCCGCGUAUCCGGACGUCUAGUCAAGCGAAUCUGCAUCUUAAUUGGUGCGGUGCGUGCGCACAAGAUAAAUAAAAUUAAGUAAUGGUGCGGUGCGUGCGCACAAGAUAAAUAAAAUUAAGUAAUGGUGUAUGUGCCUCUGCGAGAUGCAUGGGUCAUGAAUAAAUGUGAACUUUGUUUCCUGUUGAUGGAUUACACUAGUAUCUCAGAUUUGUACCUUACCAAUCACGCAUGCCCUCUUAUCCUUGUUCUGAAGCCUUAAUUUGGCUAUACGUACUGCGGCGAGAUGUUGUUGUAAGAACAUUAGCAAGUCG
rnacentral:lncRNA from 1 species